rnacentral:rRNA from 1 species
AGCCAUGCGAGUAGAAGAAUUAGAUUCUUUGCGAACUGCUCAGUAACACGUGGCAUAUACCUGCCCUAUGCUCUGGGAUAACCUCGGGAAACUGAGAAUAAUACCGGAUAGAUCACAACGCCUGGAACGGUGUGUGGUUGAAAGAUUACGGCAUAGGAUGGGUCUGCGGCGUAUCAGGUUGUAGGGGGUGUAACGGACCUCCUAGCCAUCGACGCGUACGGGUGUUGGGAGACAUAGCCCGGAGAUGGAUUCUGAGACACGAAUCCAGACCCUACGGGGGUGCAGCAGGCGCGAAAACUUCACCACUGCAGGAAACUGUGAUGAGGGAACUCCAGGUGCCGCGGCACUUAGUUGUGGCGCUUUUUGUUGACUAUUAAUCGGUCAAUGAAUUAAGGGCUGGGGAAAAAACGGGUGCCAGCCGGCGGCGUUAUUCCGGCCAGUUCAGGGGUUGGCGCCUUUCAUUGGGCUUAAACCUUCGUAAGCCUGGUUGGGUAAUCCUGGGUAAACCACCCAGCUUAACGGUGGAAUUCCCAGAGCCGGCCGACUAGGAACCGGAAAGUUGGGGACUCUAAGGGUAGGGUAAAAUCCUGUCACCUUAAGGCACACGUGGAAGGCCACCUGGAACGAUUCACGGUCAGG